AGCUUCCUGUUGAAACAAGUCACUCGGUCACCUACCCUCCAAGUAAUUGGAGGGUUCUGGUGGACCCCACCGUGGGUCCGACAAGUCACGGAGAACGAGGGUGCUUAUGCGUGGUGUCGUCUCGCGGGGCAGGAAAACUACGGCCCAAAAUCCGGGAUCGGUGACCGGGCAGCGUAUGCUCCCCGGGCGGUGCGUGAAACCUGCAAAGUAGACCGGCAACGGUUUGAUGAAAUGGGCGGUUUCGGAAAGGUUUCUUUUAAGAACACAUUAAUGGACGUUUGGUUGGUUGCCUGCAAGUGUUCGAUGUAUUUCAGUCUGUUUUUAUAAUAAAAAAGGUCAAGUUUGCGUUAAUUUUCUCAAAACAUCCUUUAUUUUUACUAUUUUUUUCUUUAGCAUUUUCUUUUUUAUUUAUCCUAGAAGUGAUUUUUUUUUUCUAAAAGAUGAAAUUAUCUUCUUUUUUUUUUUUUUAUGAUCGCCAUCAUCCUCCGCCCUAUUACCUCCAUCCCUCAUCCCUUUUGCAUGUUCUCCAUAUUGAACAUAUUCUCCCUUAUUGAUCGAAGAAGCUAUGAACUAGUAGAGGGCCUAUUACCUCCAUCCCUCAUCCCUUUUGCAUGUUCUCCCUAUUGAACAUAUUCUCCCUUAUUGAUCGAAGAAGCUAUGAACUAAGGAAUAGUAG
rnacentral:lncRNA from 1 species